AGAGAGAGAAAGAGAGAGCAUUUUCUCUUUCUAUUUGAAGGCUGAGGACUGUGGUAGUCGUCACUCGUCACACUCACGCGGACUAAGUGAUAGAUCAUCUCCAUCAACAUUUCCAGACUCUACAAACAUCUUUAACCUUUUUUUGUGGUUUUCUCGAAUAUUGUUUGCUAUCUUCGGAACUCAGUUAAAUCUGUGUUUUUUCAGCGAGUUUCCUCCAUACAAGUGCAAGAGCAGACAAGGCAAGUUCCAAGCUCAAUCAUCAAUCACCUUGCUUUUUUGCACUUAUCCAUCACAACAUGUAACUUUCUGUCUGUUUGAGUUUUUCUUUAUCUUAAAACAACCUUGUGGAAUCGGUUCUAUCUAGAUCAGUUUUUUUGGAUUUUGGUCGGUUCUACUAAAACCCAUCUCAGGGUCCGAAUAAAUAUCCUUCCUUUUUGUCUUUUUUCCACUUUCUGCUCAGUUGUAGCUUUAGCUGUACCCUUUAUGCACUUCAAAUCUUCAACACAAGUUUACACCCCUCAUUUUCCUUAAGCUCAAUUAGAUCUUAAAUGCUUAAUUAUUGAACACCAUUUAAUAUCCUCUUUUUUUAUUUAAAUUUUUUUAUCAUUUAUUUCUCCUCCCAAAAAUCUUACACAUGCCCUCAAAUUCAAUCCAUUGAAAGGUUUGAACUUUGACGUCAAGUUGAUCAAUUUUCCACCGUGACAAAAGAGUGCUUUUGAGAUAGAAGAGAAUGCAAGACCCAACGGCAUUCCAACCCAUCAAACCCCAUUUUCCUGAACAAGAACAACUCAAAUGCCCACGUUGUGAUUCCACCAACACCAAAUUCUGUUACUACAACAACUACAACCUCUCACAGCCACGCCAUUUUUGCAAGAACUGUAGAAGGUAUUGGACCAAAGGAGGCGCUUUGAGAAACAUUCCUGUUGGGGGUGGAAGCCGAAAGAACACAAAACGGUCAUCCACCAACGCCAAACGCUCUGCAUCAUCAUCAUCAUCACCUUCUCCAUCACCAUCAGUUUCCACUGCGGCCCAAGGUGGGAGUGCUUCAGAACCCGACCCGACCCGGGUUUACACCAACCCGGUUGAUCAAGAGCGGAGGGUGCUUGUUGGUGGGGGUUUCAGUUCCCUUCUGACAUCAAAUGGGCAUUUGGGGAACCUUCUGGAGGGUCUGAAUUCAAGUGGUUCGAAUCUGAAAACUGUGCAAAUGGAAAAUUUUGGGGAGAAUGUGAGUUCUGGCCCACUGGUGAAUCCGGGUUCUGGUCGGAAUCCCGGUUUGGAAAUGCAGAGUAAUGGCAGUGCAGAGAGUUUUCUGACUAUGCAAAAUGGUGAUUCUAGUUGUUGGAAUGGAAGUAAUGGGUGGUCCAACCUUGCAAUAUACACUCCUGGGUCAGGUUUUCAGUAGAAGCAAUGAGAGAAACUUAUGAAAAAAAUGAAUCUUUUUGGCUGAAUCAGCUUUACAAUUAUGCUGAUUAUUCUGAUCAGUAUAUUUAGACAUGUUGUGAAAAGGUCUAUGUGUAUAGCCUAUUGAAUAUUUUGAUGGAUAUCAAGUUGUGAAGGAUCACGAACCAGAAGGCUAUUACAGUAGCAUCAAUUAGGUAGGGAAUGGAGGUUCGUUGAAUUUGGAGAUCCAAAACUGCAAUACAUAUAAACCUUCGUAUACUUUGUGUACAUUUUCAAUGGAGGGUCGACAAGGUUCAAAGGAAAUAAUAUAUUAUGCAUGUUUGUUUUUUAUUCUCAAGUAUGCAACUAGAUUUUGUUUUUCUCCCACCGAUUACUCUCUCUCCAGUAUUUAGAAGAAUAUUCAGUGGAUUUCUAUCAUAAUAUGUGGGGAUUGUGUUCGUUCUAGAUAUGGAACAUUUUGUGAGACAACCUACCAAUAUAUCUCUCAAAAGAAACCACCAAAGUCGAGCCUCUUUUACCCAAUUACUAAUUUCAAGUUGAGGUAGUUGUUUGAUUGAUCAAUCAAGGUGUGUUUUUGCUCAACUCAUGUGUGAUGAUCAUCUUCAUUCCAAUCACCUUGCUCUCGUGGAUCACAUACUAUGGUGUGUUUUUUAAGGACCACCCAGUUCCAUCUUUAGAUAUCAUUUACUACCCAACACAUGCGUUCGAUUGCUAGGUCAAUUUGACAAACUGAAUACAGAAAAAAUCUCGUAAAAAAAAAAAGCAUUUAUUGCUUCAAGUGAGUUUGAAUUUAAGUUGUGCUACCCAAUUUAUCCCCAAGUUCAACUUAAUCAGCCACAUUUGCAAGCUACUUGUAUGAAACACGUGUAUUUUUUUGAAUCAAAUGGACAAACAUUAAUUGCGGCCUAUAAGAGUUGAAAUUGCUUGGCAAGUUGAAUGAGAAGAAGCAAAGUCUUGGUGAAUUACAAUUCUGCUUUCAAAGAUAACUGCUAUAUGAUUUGAGCCUUGACUUUGUCUUGUUGAGUUGAAUGGUGACCACUUAUUGCUAUACACGUUAUCACAGAAGAGUCUACAUCUUCUAUACCAAAAGAAGAAAGAAAAUAUUCUUAUAUAUUUUCUUCGUCUAAUUAAUGUAGUCAACGUCAACUUUAGGAUAAGUUUGGUUCUUUAGGUGGGGUUGCUGUUGCAUAGUUUGGUUCAUCUAAUUUAAUGACUUUCCUUUGAGUUUUAGAAUGUCAUGCUCAUGUUUAGCAAAAAUUACUCAUUUUUUUAUUUUGACUUUUGUACCUGUUAAAAGGAAUAAUUAGACGAAAUUGUGGUGAAGUGUUUUCUUUAAUUCGAAACAAUUUAUCUCUGUUUACCUUAGCUUAAAGAGAUAUGAGAGAGAUGAUUUAUUUAUAUUCCGUGUUAAAAUCAUGAAAUAUAUAUAUUAACAAAACUUAGAAGUU